ACGACCUUACUUGAACAGAAUUUGUUUUAUAGGCUCGUACCACUGUAUCCUCGAUUUCUAAGGAAACAGGAAACCAAGUCUGGUGGAUGAAUCGUGGCCAUUAGAUUAGAGCGAGUUUAACAGCAUCCAUGGCGAAGGUCAUGGUGCGAUAGAUGAUCAUGUUCUCAGCUCUGAUUUAUGGAGCUUGGGAUGGUCUAAAGUAUGUCUGACAGACU